GACGAACGCUGGCGGCGCGCUUAACACAUGCAAGUCGAGCGAGAACCAGGGCUUCGGCCCUGGGGACAGCGGCGAACGGGUGAGUAACACGUGGAUAACCUGCCCUCGGCACCGGGAUAGCCCGGGGAAACCCGGAUUAAUACCGGAUAGCCCUUCCGGUCUUCGGACUGGUCUGAAAAGGUAGCUUCGGCCUCUGGCCGAGGAUGGGUCCGCGGCGGAUUAGCUUGUUGGUGGGGUAACGGCCCACCAAGGCUCCGAUCCGUAGCUGGUCUGAGAGGACGAUCAGCCACACUGGGACUGAGACACGGCCCAGACUCCUACGGGUGGCUG
rnacentral:rRNA from 1 species